rnacentral:piRNA from 1 species
UCUGGACCUCAGCAACUAUGAUGAAGAU